ACGGCGGGUGCUCCGGUGAGGUCGGAAUACAAAGGUUACAAGUUGGAGAAUAUUGUGGCGAAUAAGGGGAAGGUGGAGGAGAAGAAGAAACCGUUCUUGUUUGACCUUAACUUACAGCGGGUGCUCCGGUGAGGUCGGAAUACAAAGGUUACAAGUUGGAGAAUAUUGUGGCGAAUAAGGGGAAGGUGGAGGAGAAGAAGAAACCGUUCUUGUUUGACCUUAACUUACCGGCACCGCUUGUUUGAACUUGCCGGCGGUUUGGAUUGGACGGUGUAGAGGACAGACAUAACAGUGGUUCAAUUGUUUGUUUUGUUUUUAAUUAACCUUUUUGCAUGUUGUGGAUUUUGGUUUGAUUCUACUCUACUAUGUUGAUGUACAGUUUAAUGAAUAGGUUUUAGGUUUUGAAUCCUGUUUUAAUUAAUUAUUCACAAAUGGUAGUAGCAUUAAACAUCUG
rnacentral:lncRNA from 1 species